UACGGAGGGUGCAAGCGUUGUCCGGAUUCAUUGGGUUUAAAAGGGUGCGCAGGCGGGACAUUAAGUCAGGGGUGAAAGACGGUUGCUCAACAAUCGCAGUGCCUUUGAUACUGGUGUUCUUGGGUGACCUUGAGGUAGGCGGAAUGGGUGGUGUAGCGGUGAAAUGCAUAGAUACCAACCCAGAACUCCGAUUGCGAAGGCAGCCUACUGGAGGUU
rnacentral:rRNA from 1 species